CCAAAAAUCCCCCCAAAAUCCUCAUUUUUCCCCCAAAAAUCCCCCCAAAUCCCCAUUUUCCCCCCAAAAUCCUCAUUUUUUCCCCAAAAUCCCCAUUUUUUUCCCCAAAAUCCCCAUUUUUUCCCCAAAAUUCCCAUUUUUUUCCCAAAAUCCCCAUUUUUCCCCAUUUUUCCCCAUUUCCCCACUGUCCCCUGACCGCGUGGCCGCCGUUCCCCCGCAGCCCGCCAGGCGGCGCUCGAGGCCGCGCUGCGCUCCCUGGGCCCCGCUUUCCUGGCCGAGUUCCAGCGCCGCCGCUCCGCGCAUGCGCACGACUCGCCUCGCCGUGCCGCCCGCAGAGCUCCGAGGGUUCCGCGCGCCGAGGGCGGGGCCGGGGGCGGGGCCGGGCCAAGCUCCGCCCCCGAGGCCGCCAAAAGGGAACGGGCCGGGGAGGAGGAGGAGGAGGGGAGACCGGGAAGAGCCAGCCCUACAACCGGCUGCUGCGCGAGGAGCUGCUGAGCUGCAGCACGGUGCUGCAGCUCUCGGAGCUGCCCGACUCGGGCUUCUCCGACCAGGACAUCAAGCGGCUGGUGCAGCCCCUCGGCAAGGUCAGCGACCUCAUCGUGCUGCGCUCCCGCAACGAGGUCAGCCCCAAACCCGGCGAUUUCCACCCCAAUUCCCGACCCCAACGGGCCCAGCUGCUCUGGCGUUUUACACGUGCAGAAAUGGUUUUUUUCCUUCUCUUUUUCCCCCUUUUUUCCUGGUUUUUUUCCCCUGCUUUUCCCCCUUCCCAUUCCCUUUCUUCUCUCUUUUUCCCCCUCCUCUUUUUUCCAUUCUUCCCCUUUUUUCCCC
rnacentral:lncRNA from 1 species